GUACUGUAAUUUACUUUUUAUGGUAUUUCUUUUUACAUGGCGCUCCCUCAUUUAAAGUCCCACAAACUCCUCUCUUCUAUAUAACAAAUUUAGGGAUGGAGGCCGCCAUGUGUUCUACUUUUAUUAUAGUGUGUGUCAGGUCACAUCCAUUUACUAUAUAACAAAGAUUUGGGUGGAAGACACCCGCCAAGUGACCUGUCACACCUAAUACACUGCUAUUAAUUUUUGCCUAUUGUCCCCAUAAUGGCAUUUAGCAAUACUGCUACUUAUAAAUUUCCUAUGCAUUACCAGACUAAUUCCUAACCUUUGUUCAUUGUUUCUAUACCAAUGUUUAGCCCCAUUGCUAUUAGAUCCCUUCCCUACCUUUGAAUAUAUCCCUAUAUUAUUAAUCCCUAUUGCUACCAGACCAAUUCCCAACCUUUGUUUAUUGCUCCUAUACCAGUGUUUAGUAACACUGUUAUUAGAUCACUUUUUUAUUUUUGAACAAAUCCCUGCAUUUAUUAUUGUCCCAUGUAUUAUUUUUGGUCUACUACUGAAAAUAGACUAAUUUCCUCAUUUUUGUUUACUGCCCCUUUAUCAGUGUUCAGUAACACUGUUAUUAAACCCCCUCCUUUUUUCAAUAGACCCUUUAGCUACUACUUUUCCAUGUGUUAUAUUUGACUCAUUAUUGCUACCAGACCAAUUCCCAACUCCUUGUCUGGUGUGGUCUGGGUUUUUUGGGGGGGCCUGGGUGGUUUUUCUGGCUCCGGGGUUGCGAUGCGUGGCAGUCCGGCCCCUCCCCCCACCCUUUGGUGGGUGUUGGGGUCGGCCUCCUGCGCAUCGGCAUCAUGCUCUGAUGCUGUAUUAACAGCGUCACUGACAUCACCUUGAUGUUUAUUUCCAUCUUUGACCAUACUAGCUGGGCGGGGAACCCACUGAUGAUGGUUCACCAUACGCAGCUGGGAUUUCCCUCCCCGCCUUCCUUGUGCUAAAUGGUCAAUUAGGCAUGAUGUUGAUGGGGGCCCCACCUGGGAAUGGAGGUAUAUAGUAGCCUUGGAGUGGCUGGUGGUUCAUUUGCUUGACUCAACCACUAGGAACAACACAUCUGAUCCUGCACACAGGUCACCCUCCCUUGUUGGGAGCCUAGUCACCAAUUUAUGGUACACUAUGCACUUUACGUGCACACAUAACAUUUUGGAUCAGGCUGUGACCACCGUGUCUUACUCCGGGCACUGUUCCUCGUUCUCAUGGGUUCCCCGUUUCAACCCCGGGGGAGACAUCCUGCCCGAACCCCCCUUCUUUCCUUGGCAGAUACCGGACCGGGUCUUGUGGUGGCAUAUAUACUGUCCUAAAAACACUCCUGAUGAUUGGCUGAAAUGCCAGGAAACGCGUAGAGUGCCCCCAGAUGCCAACAAUCACCUGUUCAUAUUCCACAUACUUACCGAUUUUAUUACGUAUAUCUGCCAUGUCUUUGAUUUUAUUUCUGUAUUGCAUGCUAUGUAGCAGCAUAUCUAGAGUAAGCCUUGUGACUACCUAUUUAUUUAAUACAAAAU